rnacentral:lncRNA from 1 species
GGCUUUUCCAAAUGGGUUUGUUUCAUGGCAUGCUGCUCAUAAUCCAGCACACAGGGCAUACGUUCCAACUCUUCCAAGCUUUAUUUUUCUUUUCCUUUCCCAAUUUUCUCCAGGGAUGAUGAGAGAUGGAGACUUAGAUGGAUUUGUUUUUCUCUUCUGGAGCAAGUGUUUGGGGAUUUCUCUUUUCAGAGGAACUUCUGCUAUGUGGUGAAAGGUUAUAAAAGAAACCAGCUCUCAGGCAUGGCCUUUUGAACUUGGACGCCCCAGGAUGGAAAACCCAAUAUGACCAGGCUCUUGCCACUGUAAUUUCAGUCCUGCUGUACAACAGUGGCUUUGUGCCCAAAGAAGGGCUGGUCCUGCUGUCAUUUCAGAGUGGGAAGGGUGAGACAC